CGCGGCGAACGAGGCGAAAAACGAGGAAUAGCGAAGACCGAACCGCGCGCGGACCGAAGAACACGAGCGAAAAUUCGACACACGCGAAAAAGAUCGCGCGAAAGUAUAUACAUUCCGCGGAUUUAACGCGCGUUGUUGUUAACUUCGCGAUCAAGAAUACCCGCGUAUUUUCGUCACGAUCGAGCGCACUCGUCCAAGGUCACUUCCUUCCGCCUCAAUAUACACACACACAGUGACGAUGCGAAAAACCGACUGAUUGUCGAGAAGCAAUAAUCGGCAACCUUCGUGUUCUCUCGUACGGAGCGAAGUUUGCGACAAGUGGCCGCGUAUACUCCUAGCGACACGGGGGAGGAGGACGAAAGGUGCAGCUCUGCCUCGUGUUCGAAUGGGUGAGAAAUCUCUUUUGUCGUGUGUACUAUUCGAUCUCUCGGCGAGGAAGAAGACGAAGAAGACGUGCGAACGGAAUAGAAUCGAACUUGGGGCCCUGCCUGUGCCCGAUGUUCCGGAAUGUGUUCCGGCUCUUGCGCCACCAAGUUCCUCUCCUCUUCCGUGAGCUCGCGACCGAAACGCAAAAACAUAUUCAGAUAUUGCUGCUUGUCGUCCAGCCACAGCCAGAAGUACGGCUCGAAGAUCUGGAAUUUUUAUCCUGAACAACGCGCGUCAAUUUCACGAAUUAUCGGCGAUAACUUGGACAUACCUGGUAGAAGCGGCUUGGAUCAGAGCUCUCGAUAUCAGAUCGUCGACGUAAGCGAGAUAUUUCAAUCGCGCCGUUCACCAAUUUUCGUCCGAGUCACUGAACUGAGAGCUGGAAGGAUUCGAUUGAGAAGAAUCCC